rnacentral:rRNA from 1 species
CAGUCGCCGCGGUAAUACAGAGGGUGCGAGCGUUAAUCGGAUUUACUGGGCGUAAAGCGUGCGUAGGCGGCUUUUUAAGUCGGAUGUGAAAUCCCUGAGCUUAACUUAGGAAUUGCAUUCGAUACUGGGAAGCUAGAGUAUGGGAGAGGAUGGUAGAAUUCCAGGUGUAGCGGUGAAAUGCGUAGAGAUCUGGAGGAAUACCGAUGGCGAAGGCAGCCAUCUGGCCCAAUACUGACGCUGAGGUACGAAAGCAUGGGGAGCAAACAGGAUUAGAUACCCCAGUAGUCCCUGUCUCUUAUAC